rnacentral:rRNA from 1 species
GACGAACGCUGGCGGCGUGCUUAACACAUGCAAGUCGAACGGAAAGGCCCCUUUGGGGGUACUCGAGUGGCGAACGGGUGAGUAACACGUGAGUAACCUGCCCUUGACUUCGGGAUAACUUCAGGAAACUGGGGCUAAUACCGGAUAGGAAUCCUUGCUGCAUGGUGGGGGUUGGAAAGCUUCGGCGGUUUUGGAUGGACUCGCGGCUUAUCAGCUUGUUGGUGGGGUAGUGGCUUACCAAGGCUUUGACGGGUAGCCGGCCUGAGAGGGCGACCGGCCACAUUGGGACGGAGAUACGGCCCAGACUCCUACGGGGGGCAGCAGGGGGGAAUUUUGCACAAUGGGCGGAAGCCUGAUGCAGCAACGCCGGGGGCGGGAUGACGGCCUUCGGGUUUUAACCCGCUUUCAGCAGGGGGGAAGCUUGGGGUGACGGGCCCGGCAGAAGAAGCACCGGCUAACUACGU